CUUUGAAUGAAACUUGCACUUUUUGGGCAAAAAGUAUAUUAUUUCUUCUCCUCCACACUAAAACAAAGAGGAAAGAGGAAGAGAAAGAUGAGAAAUAGUGUAAUUUUUAUUCAAAUAGUGCAACUUUCAUUCAAAGAGUACAACUUAUUCAAAAAAAUUUUAUUUUUUUCUCAAAUAGUGUAAGGUUUUUUUAAAAAAAAUAAUGCAACGUUCCUCUGAAAUAGUAUAAUUUCAUCAUCUUCUUCUUUUUUCUCUGAUUCUUUAUUUUUCUUGUAACUUAUUUUCCCCCUCUUCAACCCUCAUCGGAUCCUCCAUCGCCUCCCCGGCCUUCGGCGAUAGUAACGAGAGCGGCGCCACAUCCUCUUCCUCCAUCUCCUCCUCCGCCGAU
rnacentral:lncRNA from 1 species